CAGGCUGCUGACACGGCUCACUGGGUAAAGGUGCUUGCUGACAAGACAGACGACCCGAGUUCAUCCCUGAGGCUCACACAGUAGGAGAGAGAUAUCCUCACAGAGGUCCAGGCGUUGGUGGAGCAGGUGAGAGAGAAGACCACAAGCAUCAGGCCCUGGUGCACAGGAGAGUCCUGGCCAGCCCCUCUAAAGAGGAUCUUUCCCUCCAUCAUCGGCAUCACGUGGCUGCUUCUUUGAUUAUGAAGGGAGCUACAUCCAGCAAAUAUUUACUGAUCAUCUUCUGUGUGCCUGGCGAGCUGGCGACGACUUCAAAAGAAUGCUGGGAGACUAGG